rnacentral:rRNA from 1 species
CAGCAGCCGCGGGAAUACGAAGGGUGCAAGCGUUACUCGGAAUUACUGGGCGUAAAGCGUGCGUAGGUGGUGGUUUAAGUCCGUUGUGAAAGCCCUGGGCUCAACCUGGGAAUUGCAGUGGAUACUGGGUCACUAGAGUGUGGUAGAGGAUAGUGGAAUUUCCGGUGUAGCAGUGAAAUGCGUAGAGAUCGGAAGGAACAUCUGUGGCGAAGGCGACUAUCUGGGCCAACACUGACACUGAGGCACGAAAGCGUGGGGAGCAAACAGGAUUAGAUACCCCAGUAGUCCCUGUCUCUUAUAC